rnacentral:rRNA from 1 species
AUCUGGGCGGCGGAAUUCAGGAUGGCUGGCGUGCUCUCGCGGUGCGUCGGUCGUUUGAUAUUUCCGUCGCCAACUACCGCAGACGUCGCGACCUGUUCGCGGUCGGUCCCUGCUCGGAGGAGCCGUGUUCGAGUUCGUUGUGUGCGCGCUUCUGGCACGUCACACGGCGAAGACGCGGAUCUCUGGCUGGCCGUCGGACAGUAUGCUUAACGGUGUCCGGUGUCGUCGUCUCGUACGCGCGGCAUCGGUACCGGUCGGCGACGAAUUCUUCGGGCCUCUUUCCGACCCGUCUUGAAACACGGACCAAGGAGUCUAACAUGCGCGCGAGUCGCGGGGUAUCGAGCGUACUUCGGUGCGUUCGUUAUGUUGCGAAACCCGUACAUGUUGAAGGCGUAAUGAAAGUGAAUGGGGAAGAUGGUGUUCCGAGUUCACGUUCCGCGAUCGUCGGUAUCGCGGCCGGACAUCCGCAUUCCCGGGGCGUCUCAACGGCCCGUCGCUGAUGCGGACAGUCGUCUUUCGGGGCGGCUGUCGGUCGGCGACGAACCGA